rnacentral:rRNA from 1 species
CAAAUGGUUGUGUGAUUGUGAUGGUGGUCGGUUGGCAGAACUCUUGUCCUUUUACCUUGAAUAAAUUAGAGUGUUCAAAGCAGGCUGUGGCGAAAGUCAACACGCCUUGAAUAUGUUAGCAUGGGAUAAUGGAAUAGGACUUUGGUCUUUGCAAGUGUCAAGGAGGUGGUGUGGGUCAAACUGCACCACUAACGUUGGCCCUUUUCGUUGGUUUUCACAAGAUCAAAGUAAUGAUGAAAAGGAACAGUCGGGGGCAUUCAUAUUUCAUGGUCAGAGGUGAAAUUCUUGGAUUCAUGAAAGAUGAACUUCAGCGAAAGCAUUUGCCAAGGAUGUUUUCAUUAAUCAAGAACGAAAGUUAGGGGAUCGAAGACGAUUAGACACCGUCGUAGUCUUAACCAUAAACUAUGCCGACCAGGGAUCAGAGAGCGUUCAUAGUCAUCUAAAACGUGAUUAAAAGGCCUUUCUGGCACCUCGAGGGAAACCACAAGUCUUUGGGUUCUGGGGGGAGUAUGGUCGCAAGGCUGAAACUUAAAGGAAUUGACGGAAGGGCACCACCAGGAGUGGAGCCUGCGGCUUAAUUUGACCCAACACGGGGAAACUCACCAGGUCCAGACUUAAUAAGGAUUGACAGAUUGAGAGCUCUUUCUUGAUUUUAAGGGUGGUGGUGCAUGGCCGUUCUUAGUUGGUGGUGUGAAUUGUCUGGUUAAUUCCGUUAACGAACGAGACCUCAGCCUGCUAACUAGUAAUACAAACUCCACUGAUAAAAAGAGUUGGGUUGGGGGGAGGGGUGUGAGCAAUCACAUCUCUCUCUUUUUGAUUCAGUUUGUGGAAGUGUGGGGUGUGUUUGAGAUUGGGUUAAACCAGUUUCAAAUGCGCCCUCAUGAAAGCCUCUUGGUUGAGUUUUGGUAGCAUACUUCUUAGAGGGACCACGUCGUAGUAUCAUCGAGUGGAAGUGUGAGGCAAUAACAGGUCUGUGAUGCCCUUUAGAUGUUCUGGGCCGCACGCGCGCUACAAUAAAAGAGUCAGCGAGUGACAUAAAACAACCUUGUUCGAAAUUGGACUGGGUAAUCUUGGCAAACUCUUUUGUGCUGGGGAUAGAGCAUUGCAAUUAUUGCUCUUGAACGAGGAAUUCCUAGUAAGCGUGAGUCAUCAACUCGCGCUGAUUACGUCCCUGCCCUUUGUACACACCGCCCGUCGCUCCUACCGAUUGAAUGAUCCGGUGAAGUUUCCGGAGCGAGACUCCCUGUUGGGCAACCAACACAGUCUUAUUAACAUAAAGCAAAGUUAACUGAACCUUAUCAUUUAGAGGAAGGAGAAGUCGUAACAAGGUAUCCGUAGGUGAACCUGCGGAUG